UACGGGGGGGGCAAGCGUUGUUCGGAAUUACUGGGCGUAAAGGGCGCGUAGGCGGUUCGAUAAGUCAGCUGUGAAAACCAUGGGCUUAACUCAUGGCCUGCAGUUGAGACUGUCGAGCUGGAGUGUGGGAGAGGAGAGUGGAAUUCCUGGUGUAGCGGUGAAAUGCGUAGAUAUCAGGAGGAACACCGGUGGCGAAGGCGGCUCUCUGGGACGGUACUGACGCUGAGACGCGAAAGCGUGGGGAGCGAACAGG
rnacentral:rRNA from 1 species